rnacentral:rRNA from 1 species
GUGAGUGUACGUGAGUAACCUGCCCUUGACUCUGGGAUAAGCCUGGGAGACUGGGUCUAAUACUGGAUACUACACAUUCUCUCAUGGGGGUGUGUGGAAAGGGUUUUACUGGUUUUGGAUGGACUCACGGCCUAUCAACUUGUUGGUGGGGUAAUGGCCUACCAAGGCGACCACCGAUAGCCGGCCUGACAGGGUGACCGGCCACACUGGGACUGACACACGGCCCACACUCCUACCGGAGGCAGCAAUGGGGAAUAUUGCUCAAUGGGCGAAAGCCUGAUGCAUCGACCCCCCCUGAGGGAUGACGGACUUCCGGUUGUAAACCUCUUUCUUCACGGAAGAAACAAAAGUGACUGUACGUGCAUAAAAAACACCCGCUAACUACCUGCCAGCAGCCGCGGUAAUACAUACGGCGCAAGCGUUGUCCGGAAUUAUUGGGCGUAAAGAGCUCGUACGCAGUUUGUCUCGUCUGCUGUGAAAGCCCGGGGCUUAACCCCGUGGUGUGCAUUGGGUACGGACAGACUAAAUUGCAUUAAGGGAGACUGAAAUUCCUGGUGUAUCGAUGAAAUGCACACAUAUAUAGAGGAACACCCAUGGCUAACGCAGGUCUCUGGCCUGUUACUGACUCUGACGAACGAAAGCAUGCGUAGCGAACAAGAUUAAAUACCCUGGUAGUCCAUGCCUUACACAUUGGGCACUAAGUGUGGGGGACAUUCCUCGUUUUCCGCGCCCUAGCUAACUCAUUAAGUGCCCCGCCUGGCGAGUACGGACGCACGGCUAAAACUCAAAGGAAUUGACUGGCGCCCGCACAAGCGGCGGACCAUGCGUAUUAAUUCAAUGCAACGCGCACAACCUUACCUAGGCUUGACAUACAUCAGACCGAUCCGGACAUAGACGUUCCCCCUUUCGGUGUGGGUGUACAUGUGGGUGCAUGCAUGGUCGGUCAGCUCGUGUCGUGAGAUGAUAGGGUUGAGUCACGUCAACGAGCGCAAACCAUCGUCGUAUGCUUGCCUAGCACGUGAUUGGAUGGGGGGACUUCAUACGAAGACUGACCUGGCCGUCGACUUCAGAUCGAGUAGGGAGAACGUCCAAUCAUCAUGUCACGCUACGUUCAU